rnacentral:rRNA from 1 species
AACUAACGCUGGCGGCGUGCCUAACACAUGCAAGUCGUACGAGAAAGUUGGCUUCGGCCGAUGAGUACAGUGGCGCACGGGUGAGUAACGCGUGGAUAAUCUGCCCUUAAGUGUGGAAUAACGUACCGAAAGGUGCGCUAAUACCGCAUAAUGCCUGGCAACAUAAGUUGUCCGGCCAAAGAAGGCCUCUGCUUGCAAGCUUUUGCUGAAGGAUGAGUCCGCGUACCAUUAGCUAGUUGGUGGGGUAAUGGCCUACCAAGGUUAUGAUGGUUAGCUGGUCUGAGAGGAUGAUCAGCCACACUGGAACUGAAACACGGUCCAGACUCCUACGGGAGGCAGCAGUGAGGAAUAUUGCGCAAUGGGGGCAACCCUGACGCAGCAACGCCGCGUGAGGGAUGAAGGUUUUCGGAUCGUAAACCUCUGUUGUACGGGAAGAAGGAUGUGACGGUACCGUACGAGAAAGCCCCGGCAAACUACGUG